AUUGAACGCUGGCGGCAUGCCUUACACAUGCAAGUCGAACGGUAACGCGGGGCAACCUGGCGACGAGUGGCGAACGGGUGAGUAAUGCAUCGGAACGUGCCCAGAAGUGGGGGAUAGCCCGGCGAAAGCCGGAUUAAUACCGCAUGAGACCUGAGGGUGAAAGCGGGGGAUCGCAAGACCUCGCGCUUUUGGAGCGGCCGAUGUCAGAUUAGCUAGUUGGUGGGGUAAAGGCCUACCAAGGCGACGAUCUGUAGCUGGUCUGAGAGGACGACCAGCCACACUGGGACUGAGGCACGGCCCAGACUCCUACGGGAGGCAGCAGUGGGGAAUUUUGGACAAUGGGCGCAAGCCUGAUCCAGCCAUGCCGCGUGCGGGAAGAAGGCCUUCGGGUUGUAAACCGCUUUUGUCAGGGAAGAAACGCUCUGGGCUAAUACCCUGGGGUAAUGACGGUACCUGAAGAAUAAGCACCGGCUAACUACGUGCCAGCCGCCGCCGUAA
rnacentral:rRNA from 1 species